ensembl:lncRNA
GGUGCACAGUGGGGACUCCUAGGUAGACAGUACCUAGUGUUACUGACUUGGCCUGGGCCCAGUCCUGCCCAGUUCUUCCUAGAGCAAAGAGUCCUGGCCCUGGGCACUUUCCUAGGUUCCAGAGUCCGUGCUGCACGGACACCAUGCCAUGGCCACCAUCAGUCACUGCAGCCUCAGCCUUGGAUCAUACCCUGCUCUAGGGUUAUCCUUCCUGGUUCCAUCCAAACCCCGAGAACAACCCCGCACAUUUCCUCAGGAGGCUAGGAACACUGGGGACAGAGCAGAAGGAAAGGAUUUGAGAGAGAAUUCGAGAAGGGCACCAAGACAAGCUGUGAAAAGCCUGACACAUGAGCUUUCACUACCCUGUACAGCUCAAGGCCCAGGAUCUCAGCCCUGUCUUUUGAGGAACCUAAUGCUCUUCAGCAGUUGGUUGAAGGCCCCAUCGUUCUCUGCCCUGGUGGCUUCUGGUAGCGGAGCAACCCACCUUCUAUUUCAUGAUGGCCACACCACUCCCACCUGGAAUGCGGUCCCAGCCUGACUCACCUGAACCACUGGAGAAGCAGUUGAAAUGAUUGUCAUCAAAAAGAAAAAUUCAAGACCGGUCUCUGCUCCAGCCCAGCAAAUGAUGUCUUCGUGUUGGUUCCCUCAGAAGCUGAUGGAAAGAGUCCAGCACAGAAUUGUCUCGAAAUCCUUCUCUCCCAAGAAGAUUUCUCUGAGUAACUCUAACCCACUCUCAGGGAGUCUGCUAAGAGUAUGUGCCUUGGAUGAAUGGAAGAAGGUUCCUUCUAUGUAGAUGAGUCAGACAAAAGUGCCCUCUUUUGAGCAGACACAGUCCCUGAGUGCCACGGUCUUGGCAAGUGGACAUCUUUGUAAGAAGAAAAUGGUACUCCUUUUGAAGUAGCUCCUACAAGUGCGCACAGCUCGGGGUCUGAAGUGGGAACUGAACUUCCGCUCUUGCUCACCUCCUCAGCCAGGCAUCUUUAGACAGUGCACGAACUGGACAACAGUACCAUGGCAGCCCUGCUUACUCGGAUCACUCCUUUCCUCUAGAGCUAUCCGGGACUUAUGCGUAGUAGAGUUUUCCAGCGGAGCUUGAUCAGAUAUUGAGUGUGUGCACACUUGGCAGCAGCUCCCCAAGCAUCUAUUUGUAUUAAUUGAUGUGUUUUGACACUAAAGGAAAGGAGAAAGUAGGUGGUCCGGAACCAGUUUCAAGAAGAGACAGAGGAAAACAGGAAAUUGAAAGUGAUAUUUUGCCUGGGUUGCGACUGUCCCUGGAUACUUCUCCCUGGGGGCCUAGAAAAUAUUCUCCACCUAAUUUCCAAGGCAGUGGAACAAGAUCCCUGCCUAAACUUGCUACGCAAAAUACCCAUCUUAUUUAUCUUCAAAAUGAUAUCGGGAAAGGAGAUGAAAAAUUGAGAGGAAAUCGUCCACCCCACUGUUCAGAGCCUGUGGUGAGAACUAAAAUGAGUAGCAGUCCUGAACGUGGGCUCCCACAUGCUGUUUUCAAGUUCAUAUCUGUCCACUGACUAGGUACGAUGUGAAAAGUUCAGUGGAUUCUUGUUUCUCUUGAACAUUUAAAGUUACAAUUUGCAACAUUAUAAAAAUAAAUUAAAAUUUCACCUAAAGGUUCUUCACUCUAUCACAGAAACUAUUUUAAUGUCAGUAUUUUCUUUUUCCUUUCCCCUCAUUCAUGAAUAUGCACAUGCACUUUUUACGGUCAUCCUUUUAACAGCCACAGAAUAUUUCAGUACCCAUUCAAAUCUGUUUCUUGUUUUUCACUAUUUCUAUAAACGUCUUGUUCAUAGAUAUUUAUCUAUAGCAAAUUGGAAAGUUAGGAAUCAUUGGCCAUCUUCCACAUCCCAAAGCUGGAAAAGCCUUCCUAGUUUCUAGUUUUGGCAGCCCCUCCACAGCCAACUUGACCCCACUUGUACUUUCAGCCCUGCUCUGGUGGUAGCGUGAAUCCUGAGCUUAUGUGUGAGGGGGUGAAGCACUUCCGGGUCAAUCCUCAUGGACCCUGCAGGCACUGCUGCG